UCCAUGCAUCUUACCCUCGUCAGCACACAAUGAUCGGAGAAUUGCAGCGCAUACUCGCUCAGAUAGAUAUGGAGAAGCCAUGGAGAACCUUGCUUAGAAUGAGAAUGGACAUGAAUCUACUCUGUAACUGGGUUGAUUUGUUGCUUCUCGUCUCCCCAUACAAGCUAAGUCAGCAGCCACCCACUUUCCUUAAAUGGCAAUUAAGAGGUUAUAGUUCUAGGUACUAGGUACUAGGUGGCUGUACUUAUCUCCCCCUUUGGGCAUAAUUGUAACUCUCUAUUUCUUUACUAAUGAAAAUCCAAAAAGGUUAAAAUUAAAAAAAAAAAAAAAAGUGCUUCAAGUCUGACUCUCCUUUGUAACUGUUUUGUUGUGUCAUGUUUGUACAAGAGUUAAAGAAUUUUAGACUAAUGAGCUCCAUUGUUCUAGAAACGUAGCUUUUAUCAAUACAUUGAUUAGCCAUUGAAGUCUGAUGUAUGUGUAUUAUUGCCAAUGUUUACAUGUAUGAUUACAAAUAUAGCUAAAAGAAAAGGAACAAAGCAAAAGACACCGUUUAAAGUGUUAUAUUUUAAUGUUUUGUUGUAAAUUUUAGUGUACUUUUGGAUGUUGUUUUACCCGGCUGUGGUUCUUUUGAUAUAGUUCAAACUUCCCGUUUGGUGCUUAC
rnacentral:lncRNA from 1 species